rnacentral:rRNA from 1 species
UACAGAGGGUGCGAGCGUUAAUCGGAAUUACUGGGCGUAAAGCGUGCGUAGACGGUUAUUUAAGUCGGGUGUGAAAGCCCCGGGCUCAACCUGGGAAUUGCAUUCGAGACUGAAUAGCUAGGGUACGGUAGAGGGAAGUGGAAUUUCCGGUGUAGCGGUGAAAUGCGUAGAUAUCGGAAGGAACAUAAGUGGCGAAAGCGACUUCCUGGACCAGUACCGACGUUCAGGCACGAAAGCGUGGGGAGCAAACAGG